AUCUUGGGUCGUAAAGGUCGGUCCGCCUACUCGGUGUGCACCUGCCCUUCCGUCCCUUUUGUCGGCGGCGUGCUCCUGGCCUUAAUUGGCUGGGUCGCGUCUCCGGCGCUGUUACUUUGAAAAAAUUAGAGUGCUCAAAGCAAGCUUAUGCUCUGAAUACAUUAGCAUGGAAUAACGUGAUAGGAGUCUUGUCCUAUUGUGUUGGCCUUCGGGACCGGAGUAAUGAUUAAUAGGGACUGUUGGGGGCAUUCGUAUUUCAUUGUCAGAGGUGAAAUUCUUGGAUUUAUGAAAGACGGACCACUGCGAAAGCAUUUGCCAAGGAUGUUUUCAUUAAUCAAGAACGAAAGUUGGUGGCUCGAAGACGAUCAGAUACCGUCCUAGUCUCAACCAUAAACGAUGCCGACCAGGGAUCGGCGGAUGUUGCUCUAAGGACUCCGCCAGCACCUUCUGAGAAAUCAGAGUGUUUGGGUUCCGGGGGGAGUAUGGUCGCAAGGCUGAAACUUAAAGGAAUUGACAGAAGGGCACCACCAGGAGUGGAGCCUGCGGCUUAAUUUGACUCAACACGGGGAAACUUACCAGGUCCAGACAUAGUAAGGAUUGACAGAUUGAGAGCUCUUUCUUGAUUCUAUGGGUGGUGGUGCAUGCCCGUUCUUAGUUGGUGGAGCGAUUUGUCUGGUUAAUUCCGAUAACGAACGAGACCUCAGCCUGCUAACUAGCUACGCGGAGGUUCCCCUUCGCGGCCAGCUUCUUAGAGGGACUAUGGCCGUUUAGGCCAUGGAAGUUUGAGGCAAUAACAGGGCUGUGAUGCCCUUAGAUGUUCUGGGCCGCACGCGCGCUACACUGAUGCAGCCAACGAGCUUUUCUUCCUGGUUCGAGAGGAUCGGGAAAUCUUUUCAAAUUGCAUCGUGAUGGGGAUAGACCAUUGCAAUUAUUGGUCUUCAACGAGGAAUUCCUAGUAAGCGCAUGUCAUCAACUCGUGUUGACUAUGUCCCUGCCCAUUGUACACACCGCCCGUCGCUCCUACCGAUUGAAUGAUCCGGUGAAGUGUUCGGAUUGCGUCGACGAUGGUGGUUCGCCGCCGUCGACGUCGUGAGAAGUUCAUUGAACCUUAUCAUUUAGAGGAAGGAGAAGUCGUAAAAAGGUUACCGUAGGUGAACCUGCGGUAG
rnacentral:rRNA from 1 species